rnacentral:rRNA from 1 species
CAGCAGCCGCGGGAAUACGUAGGGUGCGAGCGUUAAUCGGAAUUACUGGGCGUAAAGCGUGCGCAGGCGGUUUUGUAAGACUGGCGUGAAAUCCCCGGGCUCAACCUGGGAAUGGCGCUUGUGACUGCAAAGCUAGAGUGCGGCAGAGGGGGAUGGAAUUCCGCGUGUAGCAGUGAAAUGCGUAGAUAUGCGGAGGAACACCGAUGGCGAAGGCAAUCCCCUGGGCCUGCACUGACGCUCAUGCACGAAAGCGUGGGGAGCAAACAGGAUUAGAUACCCCAGUAGUCCCUGUCUCUUAUAC